UCCGGCAAAACACCCACCUCCGGCGAAACCAGUCCGGCGACGCGAGGAAGAAGACGCGCGCGUGGGCAGCGCGUAGACAGGGCGCGUGAGAGCUCCAAAUUUAGUUCUAAAAAUUUUCACGUGUUCGUGACGUCGUGUAGAUCACCGUGGUGAAAAUUAUACAGAAGAAGAAUGUAACCAAUCUAGGGGAGGCUCAGGGACCUACGAGACGUCGAAGUGAUCUGUUCAAGAAUUGCAAAGGUGUGGUGACUA